AUUUAGAUAGCUUAAUAAAGAGCAUAAUAUUGAAGAUAUUAGGGUGAUUAAUUUAAUCUUUAAAUA
rnacentral:tRNA from 1 species